GAGUUUGAUCCUGGCUCAGGAUGAACGCUAGCGAUAGGCCUAACACAUGCAAGUCGAGGGGCAGCGAUGGUAGCAAUACCAGUCGGCGACCGGCGGAUGGGUGAGUAACACGUAUGCAACCUGCCUUCAACAUUGGAAUAACCCGUUGAAAGACGGACUAAUGCCUUAUAACACAGGGGCGCCGCAUGGCGAUAUUUGUUAAAGAUUUUAUCGGUUGAAGAUGGGCAUGCGCAUGAUUAGUUAGUUGGUAAGGUAACGGCUUACCAAGACAACGAUCAUUAGGGGUUCUGAGAGGAAGGUCCCCCACACUGGUACUGAGACACGGACCAGACUCCUACGGGAGGCAGCAGUGAGGAAUAUUGGUCAAUGAGCGAGAGCUUGAACCAGCCACGUCGCGUGCAGGAAGAAUGUCUUAUGGAUUGUAAACUGCUUUUUCGGUAGAGUAAUGUGCGUCACGUGUGACGUAUUGCAAGUAUACCGAGAAUAAGGAUCGGCUAACUCCGUGCCAGCAGCCGCGGUAAUACGGAGGAUCCGAGCGUUAUCCGGAUUUAUUGGGUUUAAAGGGUACGUAGGCGGGAUGAUAAGUCAGCGGUGAAAUUUUGCAGCUUAACUGUAAGCUUGCCGUUGAAACUAUUAUUCUUGAGUGUAGAUAAGGUAGGCGGAAUGCGUUGUGUAGCGGUGAUAUGCUUAGAUAUAACACAGAACACCAAUUGCGAAGGCAGCUUACCGGGUUACCACUGACGCUGAGGUACGACAGCGUGGGGAUCAAACAGGAUUAGAUACCCUGGUAGUCCACGCCGUAAACGAUGAAUACUCGCUGUUUGCGAUAUAGUGCAAGCGGCCAAGCGAAAGCAUUAAGUAUUCACCUGGGGAGUACGUUCGCAAGAAUGAAACUCAAAGGAAUUGACGGGGGCCCGCACAGCGGAAGACCUGUGGUUUAAUUCAUGAUCCCGAGGAACUUACCCGGGCUUGAAAUGCAAUCGACUGACUUGGAAACAGGUCUUCCCC
rnacentral:rRNA from 1 species